UUAUGCAUAUAUACUCACGCAGCCCGGAAUACCUUCCGUUUUCUAUGACCACUUCUAUGAUUCGGGUGAUUCAAUUCAUGAUCAGAUUGUGAAACUGAUUCAGAUUAGUAGAUAUGAGACAUUUUGAACUGAUCGAUGCUCAUGAUUAGGUUGUGUACAUAAGACAAUGGUGGAUUAAUAGAAAUUGCAAUGAAUGAUUUUGGA